CCGGAGUUCUGGCCAGGAGGCUCUGGCUGGAUUCCAGUUGUUACAGAGCUCGCUGGAGACUUCCUUCUCCCUGUGGCAUUUUCCCCGCUCCUCUGGCCGCCGAAGGAGUCCUGUGGUGCCGGGCAGGAAUGGGCUGCUUGGGGACCCAACGAGCUCCCAGAGCCUUUCCUGCUGCUUCCUCUACCCCUGUGUUUCGCUAGGCUCUCGAGAUGGACUCAGUUCCAGAUUGCCCAGCCUCACAUAUUCCUUCAUAGCAACACAAAGGGACUGAGACAAUAUAUAAGUUAACAUCUGCCAUGUAGUGGAGGUUCCAGAGAAAAAGUGAGAGAAGCUGAGUCUGCACCCUCAACAUGGAGGAAAUAAGCUCUCUUAGGACCAAGAACAGAGGACAGAGGAAGGACUCCAGCAUGAUGGGCACCAAGGGAUUUUGGUCCUUCUGAGAAAGAGGAGAGACAGGGUCUUCCUCUUUGCCUAAGCUGGAGCGCAUUGGUGUGAUCAUCGCUCACUGCUGCCUCAAACUCCUGGGCUCAUGCGACCCUCCCACCUCAGCCUCCUGACUAGUUGGGACUACAGAAUUGGUUCCUUCCAGUGAGUUCUUGGUCUCGCUGACUUCAAGAAUGAAGCCACAGACCUGUGCGAUGAGUGUUACAGCUCUUAAAGAUGGUGUGUCCAGAGUUUGUUCCUUCAGAUGUUCAGAUGUGUCCGGAGUUUCUUCCUUCUGGUGGGUUUGUCCUCUCGCUAACUUCCAAGAAUGAAGCCGUGGACGUUCACAGUGAGUAUUAGACCUCCUCAGGUUAGUGUGGACCCAAAGAGUGAGCGGCAGCAAGAUUUAUUAAGAGCAAAAGAACAAAGCUUCCACAACACGGAAAGGGACCCAAGCUGGUUGCCUCUGCUGGCUCGGGUGGCCAGGUUUUAUUCCCUUAUUUGGCCCCGCCCACAUUCCGCUGACUGGUCCAUUUUACACAGUGCUGAUUGGUCCAUUUUACAGAGUGCUGAUUGGUGCAUUUUUACAGAGUGCUGAUUGGUGUGUUUACAGUCCUUUGGCUAGACACAGAGUGCUGAUUGGUGUGUUUUUACAGAGUGCUGAUUGGUGCAUUUACAAUCCUUUAGCUAGACUCAGAGUGCUGAUUGGUGCGUUUUUACAGAGUGCUGAUUGGUGCGUUUACAAUCCUUUAGUUAGAUGCAGAGUGCUGAUUGGUGCGUUUACAAUCCUUUAGCUAGACACAGAGCACUGAUUGGUGCGUUUACAGUCCUUUAGCCAGACAGAAAAGUUCUCUAAGUCCCCACUCUACCCAGGAAGUCCAGCUGGCUUCACUUCUCAAUAUACGCAUUCCCUAUUUAAUUUUCCCAUUUUCUUGCGAUGCUUCUGUGUUUUGGCUUUGUGGAAAUCCAUUCUGCAUGCAAUACAGAACACAAAUUUGGCAAAAACAGUACUGGUGAUCAAAAAGCAGCACUGUUGCAUAAGUGUCUUCUUAUCCUACUAUGCACAUAAUUAUUUUCAAACUAGUCAGUAACUUAGCUGGCUUCCUCAGGCAAAUGCAGCUUUAAUUUAUUAAAAGCCCUGGAAUAUCAUCAGCUGGAAGGAAUGCCAACACAGGUAAAUGAGGCAUUUUUAAACUGACGUUUUCAUUCUUGCCGUGUUGUGCAGGCAAUCUACUCAUUUGAAUUUUUCUCCAAAUGCAUUGAGCUGAAUGGAAAAAAACAAACUUUAUUGGUAACACCCUGAAAUCCACUCUUGGAAAUCUUGAUUGCACCUAAUUCCAAAUCUGUCACUAUAGUUGGGGAUUCAACUGAAAUCCAUUUUCUUCUUUAUAAAGACAAUAACAAGGUAAUAGUUCUGCCUAACAUGAUGUGACUUUCCUGCGAUGGUGAUUUUCCAAAUUUUAAAUGUUUAGAAUUUUAGAUGAUAGGGAUUUAGAUUUUAGAGAUUUUGAUCUUUUAGGAUUUCAACAUUCAGGAUUAUGGCACUCAGUAUUGCGUCCUUUGAUAUUAUGAUCCAAACCCUUUCGCUUCAUAAAAAACUGUGAAACAGCUUUUUCUGUGCAUUAAAAAAAAGUUUCAAGGUGGAGUUUCUUACAUUAAGAGAAUCUUUUUAAAGAAAAUGUGUGGUGGAGAAAUUUUCGAGGAGGACAUCUUUAUCUAAUCAUUUCUAGUAAGCAAACUUUCUCUACUAGGUCAAGAUCUAAGCAAACACACAAAUGUGAACAACAGGGAAAGAACCCAUUGACCUACCAAGACAGGCUGCCAACAGAAUUUUGAAGGCUUGCCAAGAUGCUUUUAUGGAGGUAGAGUGAAUGAGAUUCCGUAAGUGCAAAAUAAUCCUUUUAAGACUACCCAGAAAGUAAUAUAAGUGAACUAGUUAUAUAAGAUUCAGUGAGGACUACCAAAACAUUGGGAAGAAAUGUGGAUUUUAUCAUUCAAGGAAAUAUAAUUUUAUUGUAAGAUAUAAUCUUUGUUUUUGUAGUCAAAUAGAAACAUUCAUGCCUUAAUACAACGUUUGGUAAAAAGAACUGAAGAAGACACCAUAGAAGAUUUUAACAAACAAUGAACUCAUUAGCUAAAAGAUUUGUCAUGAAAUAAUGAUUGAUUUAGUUGUUUUCUAAAAUAUUUCUAGUGCCUAUUAGAUGUUGAAGGAGACUUUGAUCAUGAAGUGUGUUCUCUGAGGAGCUGCUAUUUUUAUUUUUAUAUUUGUUUGAAGUGAAUUGUCCUGCUAAUUCUUUAACAUAAAAUAUCUUCAAUUACAUGAUUCAACAUUUUAAAAAGUGAUUAAGACAGAAGAAUAUGUGCUGGGAUUUAUUUUUGGAUCUUUGAAGUAGCAAAGAGUAGCAGAACUCCUUAAUCCAUAGAGUGGUUAUUUUGCUGUAUGAUGACUCUUGUAUUUACUCCCUGAAUUACCCUUUCCACUAAAAAGUAUUAAUGAGACAUUAGUAGGCUAUAGAAAAAAAUACUUCUGAUCUACUUAGAAAUAUUCAUGAGGUUUUCUCCUGGUGGAUUCACAUCAAAUUUUAUUUUUUAAAACCCCAAGUAUUUUUAUUUGAUGAUUAAUAAGUAAGAUGGAGGCUGGUAGGUGGAAAUCGCCAGCAGGAAAAUAAAAUGCUUUGGCUAAGCCGACAACUGCUACUGUCCUCCUCUGUACAGACUCUCCUGCUGAAGACUCACGGAGGCUUAUUUCAAGUCUUCUUUAGUUCAUUACCUGCAUGUUCAAAUGGAGCUGGUACUGUGACUCACAGCUUUCUGUCCAAGAAUGCGAUUUGUACCUCUACAAAUCUUCUACACCUUCUUCAUCUAGUAAACACUUACUCUACAGGUCUCAUCUCAAAUCUAUUACUAUAUGCAACUAUAGUACAUAAGCAAGCCAUUUAAAAAUGUUAAAGGAAGAUAUGCAUUGAUAUGGGUUGGCUGUUUUCCCACCCAAAUCUCAUCUUGAAUCGUAGCUCCCAUAAUCCACACGUGUCAUGGGAGGGACCCAAUGGAAGGUAAUUAAAUAAUCGGGGUGGGUUUUUCCCAUGCUGCUCUCAUGAUAGUAAAUAAGUCUCAUGAAAUCUGAUGGUUUCAUAAUAUAAAGGGCAGUUCCCCUGCACAUGCUCUCUUGCCUGCCACCAUGUAAGAUGGGCCUUUGCUCCUCCUUUGCCUUCUGCCAUGAUUGUGAGGCCUCUCCAGCCAUGUGGAACUGUAAGUCCAUUAAAUCUCUUUUUCUUUAUAAAUUACCCAGUCUUGGAUAUCUCUUCAUAGGAGUGUGAAAAUGGACUAAUAGAUACAUAUAGGUACACAUACAUGUAUACAUAAAGCCAUUCCAAAAGACUUUGCUUCCUGAAGUUUGUAAAUGUAAACAAAUUUAUUGUACCAUCAUUUAGGUUACUACGUUGCUCACUAACAUAGAAACAAUAUCUAAAAUGGGUACUUAUAGGGUUAUUAAAAUAUAGUAUGAAUAUGGCUACUGGAAAAAAGUCAAAGAUAUAUUUUGAGGCCACUACUCUACGUCUCUUGAUGUUCUCUUGUACACAUUUGAUAUUGCACAAAAGCCAAAAGUUUGGACUCCUUUGAUUAAAGGCAAGGUCAAGUAAUCCUGCUGGUUCUACCUCUCCUCCCAUUUCUUAAAUGAAAGGAUGUAGUCAUAUAAGGUGCUGUUUAGUAAAAUGGUGCCGUGAAUUCAGCAUGAAAUGUCUGGGCAAGUGUUUUUCAAGUUGUCACAUAUAUACUAUAUUUAUCUUCCUCCUUUUCCCUCCUCAACCUCAGUCCCCAUCACCCAGUGUUUCAUAAGGUUUUACUUUCUGUAGCUUAUACUGUAAAACCAGGAGUUCCCUUCCUCCUCUCCCAAAUAUAACCUUUUCUAAUAAUAUUAAUUGCACUUUCCCUAACUAUACAUACCUCCCUGGAGAUUUUGAACUGUAAUUCUUUCUCUCCUCCAUUUUCCUUGAGCAUUUUUCAUCUAGUGGAAUAUUCGGUGGCAAAGCUCUCAUUCUGGAAGAAGUUUAGCCAUGUAAGCAUAGAAGAAAUAAGCCAACAAUGGUAAACAUAGUUAAUGCAUGUAGUUAAGUCUUCUAAACAUGUCACUUGAAUGAUGUCACAUUUUGCUUUUUCAAACUAGGAAUCAACAAAAUGGAGGAACAUUUGAGGUUUGUUAAGAAAUUUCCCUUCUUAGCCAUAGAACUAAGAUAUUUUUAAAUAAAGAAGAUCAUAGUGGGCCAUAAAUGAUGUGCCUUUCUAGGAUCCCAAAAUGUUUUAUUGAUUGAAUUAUAUAGAGAGAUUUAAUGGAACCGUGGUUGAAAAAUGCUUUUAAAGUCUUUGAUCACUGGGAUAUCAAUGGAACAAAUGGGUUAAAACAUUUUCAGAAUUUAAUCAUUUAUCUAGGUAACAGGGUUGGGGGUAAAUGGCGGGAGAGAAGGGGAGGGCCGGGGCAUUAAUGAAUAGUACUCCAUGUAAAAAGAAGAAUUGACUAGUAACAUCUGUACUAUUUAAAUUAACAGGCUGGCAUAUAUUGUUGUGCAGGUUUUGCAUUGCCCAAUUCUUGGGGGGGGCGGCAUUCACAUUUGUAGUCAUUAUGGGUUCCUCUAUUUAUAAUGCCAAUUUUCUAGCAGAUGUUGGUUUAUUGCCUUGAGAAACUGUUAGAUUCCUCUAAUUUUUGCAAAGAUGGCUUUGGGAAGUUGAAAGAUUACCUGAUUACUAUUAGAGAAUCCUGCUACCAAUACAUACUUGUCUUGUAUAAUUUGGGCAAAAUAUAAUAUUCCUGAAUCUUAGAUUCCUUGUUUGUAAAAUGUUUAAAAUAUAUCUAAAUGUAAGAAUUGUUGUAGCAUAUAUAUGUGAGUACAUGAAUGUGGCCGUCACAGCAGCUGUAAGUGGAAGAUAUUAUAAAUAUUGUUAAAACCUUCUGAUGUUUUAUUUUAAGCUGAUAGUUUUUCUUUAUGCUGACUUUACAGUGAGUUUUAAACAUACACUUGAGUUUAUCAUUUGUAUAUAACUACUGAUAGAAAUCUGAUGAAAAACACUAAUAGUAGUUUAUAAAAGAUUUUUUUCAAUAUGAACUUUUUGUUUCCAUUGUGAGAAAUUAAAUUUCAAAAUGUAAUUAUUAAAUGUAUGCCUGACUUUCAAAUGUUUUUCUAUAUCCAGCUAAUUAAAAAUAUUUAUAACGUAGUAGUAGUUAAAUGUCAUGUUCGCCUUAUUAGAAAGAAUGCCUUCAAAUCAGUAUUAUCAUGAUUACCAUUUAUUUAACAUCUUCAGUAUGCAGGGCAUUUAUAAAAUCUGUAGAAAUUAAUUUUCUCUAAAUGCAACAAGCUUUAUGACCAGCACUCACUGUCUAUAAAAGAUGACUUGCUUGGCAGAAGAGGAAACAGUUUCUUCAGACCUUCCAGCCACAGUCAGCCCUGGUGACAUUGCAUAUCAGCUUCUAAAGGGCCUCGCACAUUCCUUGGCUUGUGAUGUCCCUUCCCCAUCAUCAAAGACAGCAACGAAACUUCAGGCUACCAUACCUGCUUCAACUGUAGGAGAAUCUUAGUUCUGGAGAGUUGACCCUCCAGGCGAAGCAUUAGGCUUUGAUACAAUUUGUCUGGUACCGGCUGUAGAUCUGGUUUGGGCCCCAGACUAUCUUCCCUGUCCUCAAGAAUCAAAACCAACUUGGAAUGACUCCUGGCCCACUCAGCACCUUUCCGGAAGCCAGAAGAAUGAAGUGCCACACAUAUCAUCAGAGAGAAUUCCAAGGAAGAGGGAAUGGUCUAUAGUGUCUCAAGCCACAUUAAUCCUUCAAGAACAGUGUUAACUUUCUCAGGCUACUGGAACUCCACUUUUUGGAACUGUUAUAUUUACUGUUGGGGAGUGACUUUGGCACCAAGGAGAACUUGGCUCAAAUGAAUGGUUUUGGAUCACACAUCUUCAUGAUUUGGGAAUGAUAUGUGUGUUUAUUUUAUGAAAAAUGUUAGUAAUGAAGCAUUUAAAAUAUAUCAAAAGGAAAAUCUCCAAGAGUUGGUGAAUCAUGCUGUUGCCAAUAAUAGGCAUGUGACAUAACUGAACAUUUCAUCAUCUUCAGUAAAUAAUCAAGAUGAGAUGACAUGCUGGGUCUGUGAUCACCAGGGAUCCAAAUGCCUUCGAUCUUGGUGCUGGCUCACAAUCACCAAGUGGCUUCCACCUCACAGUCUGCUGUGGUUGAUUAAACUCCAGCAUCUUAUUGAUGUUCUAGCUGGCAGAAACGAAAAAGAACCCAACAAGGGCAAGGUUGAAUUACAAAGAAAGGAGAAAAUAUCCAUUGGAGGACUACUAUCAACCUCUGCCACAAUUUCUACAUUUUCUCAACGUAUGAAAUUUUAAAGUAUACUACUAAAUUUUAAAAAUUAUUCGUAUUCAUAUUUUCAAUGGUAAAACUAUCGAGCAUUCUGUUGUUUGUGCCAAUUGUUUUACCAAAAAUUUUAGAUACAAGAAGAGACAUUUAUAACACAAGGUGUUUCUAACUGGAAAGUAAGCCCUGGAAAAAUUUAGGAAACAAGAGAGAUGUGAAACGUGCUUUAUGUUAUUGUGAUUUUGAAAUCUAUUUUUUGGAAAAACUAUGCUUAUAAAUAAUUGAAACUUUAAGAGAGGUUGAAGACAGUGGAGCACAAUUAAAUUUUGUGGUUAGAAGGUUGCAUUUCUAAAAAAAAAUGUUUACUAUUGAGAGGGCAUUACAGUGCUAUGAGGGCAGGAAUUUUCGUUCAUUUUCUUCACUUAUAUUUUUUGCAACCAGAGUAGUGUGUCGAACACAGUAGGGGCUAGAUAAAUGUUGAAUUAAUGAUUGAUCAAUUGGUGGAUUAAAUUAGAGUAAAAGAUGAAGAAACAUUUCUUUUUAUUUAUUUAUUUAUUUUUAUUAUACUUUAAGUUUUAGGGUACAUGUGCGUAACAUGCAGGUUAGUUACAUAUGUAUACAUGUGCCAUGUUGGGUGAAGAAACAUUUCAACACAUGAAUUACAAGCAGAUUUUUACAAAAGAGCACACAUUUAAUACUAAAUUUGAAAAUUCACCAAACAUAGUAAUAACAUCAGUUUUUCCUUAGCUUAUUCGAUAAUACGAGAAAACUGUGUAGGGAAAGAACAACUUGAGUACAUAUAAAACCCACUGAAGAUGUCAAAAUGUAUCCAAAUUUAAAAGAGGCUCUUAAAUUUUAUCAAGCUAAGAGAAGUCUGGGACUAAGCAAGAAUUUAUUUGUAGCAAGUCACAAAAUAAAAAUAAAUUAUGUGGCCUAGACUGCAACAGUCAUAAAAUUGUGGGAAUUUUAAUGAAGUUCUUUCUGAAUUUAAAGAAAACCACAGAGGUUUCCUUAUCAUUAUGCAUGCCUUUUGCAUUUAUGAGUGAUAAUGUUUCAUGAGUAAGUAAAAAAGUUGUAAAAAUCCUAAAUACUGUAUGUCUUUAUAUGCUAUCACUCAGAAAUAUGCAAAAAGAUAAACACUUCCUCACAAUAUGUAAGCAGAACAAAGGCAUUAGAAGUAAGCUAUGCAAGUUGUAAAACAUGGGUUGACAUGUACUUAGUCUUAUUUUAUUGGUAUAAUUGAGACACAUCUGGAGAUUACUGAGUCUUGAAAUAUGCAGAUGACUGAUGAAUUAAGUGUUUGGCUGACAGAUUUCAAAUUUGAAAUUAUAAUUUCUUUAAAAUGCUUAUUUAAAAAAAGUCUUCUGUUGUGAUUAGAAUUCUUUUUCAAGGAUGGAAAUGUAAAUAUAUUAUGGAUCCUUUUCCUUGGCCUUCAACAGAGAGCCAUGAUUUCAUUUUUUUGUCAAAGAGAGACAAUAAAUAUUUUAAAUAUAUUUGGGAAAGAGAGAAACUAUAUGUCACAAACCAAUCUCUAUCUAAAUCUUUCAAAGUACACAUGCCCUGUCUUUAAAACAGGC
rnacentral:lncRNA from 1 species